rnacentral:misc_RNA from 1 species
CCGAGCCUCUAUUUCAUCGAAAGGUAUACUUUUAUCUACUUCUUCAAUCUCCAGACAGGCCUAACGAUCAGUCACUCGACCCUUGUUUGGUUUGCUGGAAAUUGCAGGAAAAGUGGAACUUUUAUUUAUUUAUUUUUAAUUAUUACGUUGUUUUCACUUCGUAAAUGUGUUUUCUUUGUUACGACUCGGUUAAAUUUAUUCAGGAUUCAGCUGAGUGAUAAAUAAAUAAACGCGUGAUGUGAACUUUUUCUUAUUUAGUUAUUUUUCUUCUAUUAAAAUUUGGAAGAUGAUGAGCUUUGGUUUGAUCGUUAAAUUUAAGGCCCUUCUUUGUGCAAUAUAUCAAUGGUUUCAGGGAAAAUGAGUAGCCGCGCUAG